UACCUGGUUGAUCCUACCAGUAGUCAUAUGUUUGUCUCAAAGAUUAAGCCAUUCAUGUUUAAGUAUGAACUAAUUCAGAUUGUGAAACUGCGGAUGACUCAUUAAAUCAGUUAUAGUUUCUUUGAUGGUACCCUACUACUCGGAUAACCAUAGUAAUUCUAGAGCUAAUAUGUGCACCAAGUCCCGACUCUUUGGAAGGAAUGCAUUUAUUAGAUAAAAAGUCAGUGCGGGCUUUCUCGCUCCUCCGGUGAAUCAUGAUAACUCGACGGAUCGCACAACCCUUGUAUUGGCGAUGCUUCAUUCAAAUUUAUGCCCUAUCAACUUUCGAUGGUAGGAUAGAGGCCGACCAUGGUGGUGACGGGUGACGGAGAAUAAGAGUUCGAUUUCGGAGAAGGAGCCUAAGAAACAACUACCACAUCCAAGGAAGUUAGCAGGCGCGCAAAUUACCCAAUCCUGACAUGGGGAGGUAGUGACAAUAAAUAAAAAUAUUGGGCUCAUCGACUCUGGUAAUUGGAAUGAGUACAAUCUAAAUCCCUCAAUGAGGAUCCAUUGGAGGGAAGUUUGGUGCCACCAGUCGCGGUAAUUCUAGCUCCAAUAGCAUAUAGUUAAGUUGUUGCAGUUAAAAAGCUCGUAGUUGGAUCUUGGGUCGUAAAGGUCGGUCUGCCUACUUGGUGUGCACCUUCCCUUCUGUCCCUUUUGUCGAUGACGUGCUCCUGGAAAUAAUUGUCUGGGUCACGGUUCCAAUGUUGUUACUUUGAAAAAAUUAGAGUGCUCAAAGCAAGCUUAUGCUCUGAAUACAUAAGCAUGGAAUAACACAAUAAGAGUUUGGUCCUAUUGUGUUGGCCUUUAGGACCAGAGUAAUGAUUAAUAGGGACUAUCGAGGGCAUUCAUAUUUCAUUGUCAAAGGUGAAAUUCGUAAAUUUAUGAAGGACGAACCACUGCAAAAGCAUUUGCCAAGGAUGUUUUCAUUAAUCAAGAAUGGAAUUUGGGGGCUCGAAGACGAUCAGAUACCGUCCUAGUCUCAACCAUAAAUGGUGUCAACCAGGGAUCAACAGAUGUUUCUCUAAGGACUUUGCCAGCACCUUCUGAGAAAUCAAAGUGUUUGGGUUCCAGGGGGAGUAUGGUCGCAAAAUAUGGUUGAAUUCCCUUUUCAAAACCAUGAUAGGCCCACCAAUUUCCAAUAUCAAUG
rnacentral:ncRNA from 1 species